AUUUUUGUCUUUGUUCUAUAUGUAAAAGAAAUUCCCAUCGAACAAAACUUACAUUGAGUAUAUAGUAGUGUGGAUACUUUAGACGCUGUUAUUUGAAAUGCCAGGGUUUAAAAAUGGUUUUUGCAUCUGCUGCAAUGACUUUGGUAUAACUGUUAUCGCUUACUGUGCACCAGCAAUAAUUAUUGGUAAAAAUGCAGAACAAGUUGGAGAUAACUGCUUAAUUUACGGUUGCUUAGGAACAUCAUGUAUUGGAGUGUUUAUUCGGGCAAUGAUACGAGAAAAAAUUAGAAAGAAGUUCAGAAUUCCGGGCAGCUUAUGUAAGGAUUUAUGUUUUCACUGGUAUUGCUGUUAUUGUUCUUUUGAUUCAGGAAGCUCAUAUGCCCCAAGAAGACCUUACUGUCUUGUCACCAGGGUUGCACUAGCUCUAAAACAUGGACCGGGAAAACUAUUAGUGACCGGCCUCAUCAAAUAGUAACAUCUUAUUUGCUCUUCUUGUUUUUUUUAAAUGUCUUUUAUUAA